ACACAAAACCAAACGAACCCCCCUGUUGACACACUCGCACUCACAACUUUCACAAGUUAAACACCAAAACUUUCACAGUAUGCGCUGAGAUAACAGCCUCGAACAAAGGCAAGAAUGAAUAAGAAAUGGAUAUGGAACAGGUUGACUAGAGGCCUAUUCCCUGAAGUGAAGCUCCCCUGCCCUCAAAAUCUGCUCCAGAGAGUUGGGCUUGAAUUUAGAUGUACCAGAUCUUUCUGUUCAAUGUGUGCAAUUGCCAAUGCAGCUUCCACUAGAGAUGUUGGUUCUGAUGAAAACAGAAACAGGAAUGGAAAUUACUGAUGUUCGUUUAUUCAUCCAGGUCCAGAACAGACACAAAUCCAGGCUACACAGGCAUCUACCACAUACAUAUUAAGAAUAUGAAUGCAUCUCUGUUGAAAAUAUGGAAUAGAUAUAAACCAAGGUUCUAUUCGAAAAUACCAUUAUGUGUCUCAAGUCAAGAAGCGUUUUACAGAACAGAAAUGGCUGGAAAAGAGAAAUGGUUAACUUAUCAAGAACUAUUAGAAAAUGUACAUGGAGAAUAUAUAAUGAAAGAGAAAGAACAACUGAUAAAGGAAGGAUAUAGUUCUCAAUGGUUUGCCUAUUUACAAUUGUUAGAAAGAUAAAAUGGACAAGAAAAUGUAUGGGUUUGAAAUAAGUAGAUCUGAUUUUGAAAUAGGUUUGUGUACAAAUGAUGAAAAUACAAUUGCGAAAAUGUAUAAACUCUUGCUGAAAAUGGAUAUGGAAGAAGAACAAGUAAAAGAGUGUAUGGUAAAGUGGGCAAAAAAUUUUGGUUAUAACAUACAAAUGGAUCAAUGGGAAAACAUGUGGAAAAAAGGCUUGAGAUUUACAUUAUGCUAUAAUCUUAAAGAAAAUUUCUAUAAAAUGAUGUAUCGUUGGUACAUGACUCCAGAAAAGUUGUCAAAAAUGUAUAGUAAUGUUUCUAAUGUUUGUUGGAAAUGUAAACAACAAGAAGGAUCAUGUUAUCAUAUGUGGUGGCUGUGUAAAAAGGCAAAAUCAUUUUGGGCACAGAUAGGUAGGAUGAUGCAAAAAAUUCUAAAGAUAAAUAUUCAGUCAAAACCAGAAUUUUUUUUAUUGGGUUUUAUGGAUAAACAAAUAGAAAAGAAAUAUGGAAGAAUAAUAUUAUAGAUGAUUACAGCAGCAAGAUUAUUAUAUGCACAAAAGUGGAAAAUGGAAUCAACACCAACAACGGAAGAAUGGCUAUUGAAAUUAAUGGACUUAGUAGAGAUGGAUAAAUUGACAUGUUUACUUAGAGAAAAAUCGACAGACACAUUUCUUAAGGAAUGGAAGCCUCUCUUAGACUUUUUGUUGAAAGAUCAAAAUAAAAUGAUGAUAUUGGGAUUUGACGAUUAACUAAGAUAGCCUAUGGAGAAAAGUGAUCCUGUAUGUAUAUAUUAAGGGACAGGUUUGAUAUAUAUUAUAUACUUAUAGCUGAUCUGCGACAAAUCAGAAGUCAACUUAUUUUUUUGUAU